rnacentral:rRNA from 1 species
UACGAACUGUGCGAACGUUAUUCGGAAUCACUGGGCUUAAAGGGUGCGUAGGCGGCUAAUUAAGUCAGCGGUGAAAUUCCACAGCUCAACUGUGGAACUGCCAUUGAUACUGGUUGGCUUGAGUACAGAUGAGGUAGGCGGAAUUGACAGUGUAGCGGUGAAAUGCUUAGAUAUUGUCAAGAACACCUAUUGCGAAGGCAGCUUACUAAGCUGUAACUGACGCUGAGGCACGAAAGCGUGGGGAUCAAACAGG